UCUAUUUCUUUUCCUUUUAUUUUCUUUCUUUUCCCUAUUUCUACCCGACGCCCUUCUCUUCUUCUUCUUCAUCGCGCCGCCGAGCUCUUCCCCCUUUCUCUGCUCAUCGUCGCCACCGGCCGGAGCUUCUCUUCUCCUUCUUCUCUUCCGCCUGAGCAACACCGAGCCUCUUCCUCAUCCUUGUUGAGCUCGCGACGCUGGUGCCCUAGCUUCUGAUCCGCCGCCGACCGAUCACCAUCCUUGUCGCAGCACCGGUUGCUUCUUCCACGCGACGCCAACCCUCGGGCUCACUCCAGACUUCACUGAGUACCGCCGGCAACAGCUUUUUCCUCUGCCCUAGCCGACGCCACCACCACCGUCCUUGUUCCCUAGCGCUGGUCGGCUAGCCUUCAAGUGCCAGCAGCCAACUUGUUAUCGGCCUGAGUCGCUGGCAUUAGGGUUUCCAGCAACAGCUUUGACGGGUCCUUGGUCAUUGCAGGCAGUUAAAGGAAGAGGGCGUUUCUUGAUUUCCGGCAGCUACUUCUUCCGGCAGCAACUAGCUUUGGCUGUGAGUUGAGGUUAAUGCCAUCAGGUUGGUCCCCUCGUCGCAAGAGCUUUCAUAUUGGUCUUUUGGUUUUCUAUUUGAUUGCUUAGAAACUAGGAACUAGACUUGUAUUGGUUUGCACUUUGGAUUUUGGAGUGUUUUGUCUUUAAGUAUUGUACUGGCUGGUUUUUGGUUGCUUGGUGGAUCUGUAUAUCGUGUGUUUGCUACGCGCCUGCCGAACGACAGAAGACGUAAGUUGGAUGUUUGAUUUCGUCUUCUUUUUGGUAUUGUGUUGACAGUCGAAGGCUGUUUUAUUAUAAUUGCGUGGUUUGUUAUGCUUUGUUUGAUAUAUAUGUACCAGUCGUGUUGGCUGGUGGUUGUGAGUCCUGAGGGCAAUGUAUAAAUAUUUCAGAUUGUCACCCGUAUAGGGGUGAUGUUGUCGAAAUUUCUUCUGACAGGGACUAUCUGGGCGUGACAAAGUUAACAAGGAAAUAAAUGUAACUUGGGUAUUGUGAAUUUUCGGUCCCA